rnacentral:rRNA from 1 species
GAUGAACGCUGGCGGCGUGCCUAAUACAUGCAAGUCGAGCGAACAGACUAGGAGCUUGCUCCUCUGACGUUAGCGGCGGACGGGUGAGUAACACGUGGAUAACCUACCUAUAAGACUGGGAUAACUUCGGGAAACCGGAGCUAAUACCGGAUAAUAUAUUUAACCGCAUGGUUCAAUAGUGAAAGACGGUUUUGCUGUCACUUAUAGAUGGAUCCGCGCCGCAUUACCUAGUUGGUAAGGUAACGGCUUACCAAGGCAACGAUGCGUAGCCGACCUGAGAGGGUGAUCGGCCACACGGGAACUGAGACACGGUCCAGACUCCUACGGGAGGCAGCAGUAGGGAAUCUUCCGCAAUGGGCGAAAGCCUGACGGAGCAACGCCGCGUGAGUGAUGAAGGUCUUCGGAUCGUAAAACUCUGUUAUUAGGGAAGAACAAAUGUGUAAGUAACUAUGCACGUCUUGACGGUACCUAAUCAGAAAGCCACGGCUAACUACGUG